rnacentral:ncRNA from 1 species
CAACCUCUGACGAAAUACGUGAAUGUUG